UAUACAUGGGAGGGAGGGAGGGAGACAGAGGUGUUGUGAGCAGAUCUGUUCGACACUCAGUGUAUUCUUCCUGGGAGAACUGGGGGUUAUGCAAAUCUGUCCUUUUGGCUCAGUGUACAUCUCUCCUUUGGUCUGCCAGGCUUGAACAAACUCACGACAGAAGUCUGUCAAGAUCUCUAAGUAACUUCAUGAAGUUGGUUCAAAUUCUGCGAUGGGAAGCGUAAACUUUGCUUGUAUUGAAGACUCGAGCAGAACAGCUUGGGCUACUGCACAAAGACCCAGAAAGAGAGGAGCUGACAAACAAGGCUGACGCUACCCAGGUUAGGCCACUGACCCAGCUGAAGGGAAGGUGAACCUGGACAGCAGGUGAAAAACAAACUGGAAAUUAUUUCAAUUCUAGCAGAAUCAGGGAUCAUUAACUGUAGAAGGUUCUGAAGCGCUCUGUCCUGUUUAAAGGCACCAACUCCACAUCACGGCAUUGUGGACUGCUGUAGGGAAGUCCUUCCUGGGGGCUUUGAAGUCAAAGUUGCUUGCUAUAACUGCAGCAGCUCUAAUGGGCUGCUCAAAGGACAAGGGGCUUUUGUAGUAGAAAUCAUUUCCAAUCACUCAACCAAACAAAAACACAGCUUUCCUGCGCGUACAAGGAACCUCCGACAUCACGACCAAGCCACCUACCUACAUACAAAGAACUGAACAAGUGCUCUUAAACACCAGCUGGUUGUCUAGUUUUUAAAUACUCUCUUUCAAGUUAGGCAGAUUCAAGAGAUUUAGACUUGGAACAUUACAAUAUCACAGGUCCAAAGAGGGGGCCAAAAAAAGUGACACAGUUACAGAAGGCAAAGAACAUAAGAGCAAAUUUAAAUUUGGUUUCUCUGGUCCUAGCUAUAAAAAAAAAAAAAAAAUAGCAACUAGCAAACAGAAUUUUAAUAAGACAAUUGUCAAUGCUGGGAACAGAGCCUGACAAAAAUGCUGAGCUUUUUUAAGCAUUCAUUGCCCAUCACGAGUCUGUCUAGCAAAAUCAGCCACACUCAACAACUAGAUACGGGGAGGGUGGAAGGAACAA